rnacentral:rRNA from 1 species
GACGAACGCUGGCGGCGUGCUUAACACAUGCAAGUCGAACGAGAAGAGAUGAGAAGCUUGCUUCUUAUUAAUUCGAGUGGCAAACGGGGUGAGUAACGCGUAAGCAACCUGCCCCUUCAGAUGGGGGACAACAGCUGGAAACGGCUGCUAAUACCGAAUACGUUCUUUUGUCGCAUGGCAGAGGGAAGAAAGGGGAGGCUCUUCGGAGCUUUCGCUGAAGGAGGGGCUUGCGUCUGAUUAGCUAGUUGGAGGGGUAACGGCCCACCAAGGCGACGAUCAGUAGCCGGUCUGGAGAGGAUGAACGGCCACAUUGGGACUGAGACACGGCCCAGACUCCUACGGGAGGCAGCAGUGGGGAA